AUGAAUUACAAAGUCGAUCAGCUGUGCUGGCAUAACCCUGCAUGUGCACGUUGGUCGCAAAUUCAUCCACACACCUUGUGCACCUUUAGACUGUGGAGAGCAAGCUCAUGAGCCGAUCUCUGCAGUACUUUUUCACACACUCUUGUAUGUUGUUGGGAUGUCGAACGUGCUCUUAAGCACCGAUAAUUAAUGAA
rnacentral:misc_RNA from 1 species